rnacentral:rRNA from 1 species
CCCUACGGGAGGCAGCAGUGAGGAAUAUUGGUCAAUGGUCGGGAGACUGAACCAGCCAAGCCGCGUGAGGGAUGAAGGUACAGAGUAUCGUAAACCUCUUUUGUCAGGGAACAAAGGCGGGGACGUGUCCCCGGAUGAGUGUACCUGGAGAAAAAGCAUCGGCUAACUCCGUGCCAGCAGCCGCGGUAAUACGGAGGAUGCGAGCGUUAUCCGGAUUUAUUGGGUUUAAAGGGUGCGCAGGCGGUCUGUUAAGUCAGCGGUCAAAGCCCGGGGCUCAAACCCGGCCCCACGUUGAAACUGGCAGU